UACGAAGGGAGCUAGCGUUGUUCGGAAUCACUGGGCGUAAAGCGCACGUAGGCGGAUGUGUCAGUCAGGGGUGAAAUCCCGGAGCUCAACUUCGGAACUGCCCUUGAUACAGCACGUCUUGAGUCCGAUAGAGGUGGGUGGAAUUCCUAGUGUAGAGGUGAAAUUCGUAGAUAUCUGGAGGAACACCGGUGGCGAAGGCGGCAUCCUGGACCAAUAUUGACGCUGAGGCGCGAAAGCGUGGGGAGCAAACAGG
rnacentral:rRNA from 1 species